rnacentral:rRNA from 1 species
AAGAUUAAUACAAGAUGGCAUCAUGAGUCCGCAUGUUCACAUGAUUAAAGGUAUUCCGGUAGACGAUGGGGAUGCGUUCCAUUAGAUAGUAGGCGGGGUAACGGCCCACCUAGUCUUCGAUGGAUAGGGGUUCUGAGAGGAAGGUCCCCCACAUUGGAACUGAGACACGGUCCAAACUCCUACGGGAGGCAGCAGUGAGGAAUAUUGGUCAAUGGGCGAGAGCCUGAACCAGCCAAGUAGCGUGAAGGAUGACUGCCCUAUGGGUUGUAAACUUCUUUUAUAAAGGAAUAAAGUCGGGUAUGUAUACCCGUUUGCAUGUACUUUAUGAAUAAGGAUCGGCUAACUCCGUGCCAGCAGCCGCGGUAAUACGGAGGAUCCGAGCGUUAUCCGGAUUUAUUGGGUUUAAAGGGAGCGUAGAUGGAUGUUUAAGUCAGUUGUGAAAGUUUGCGGCUCAACCGUAAAAUUGCAGUUGAUACUGGAUAUCUUGAGUGCAGUUGAGGCAGGCGGAAUUCGUGGUGUAGCGGUGAAAUGCUUAGAUAUCACGAAGAACUCCGAUUGCGAAGGCAGCCUGCUAAGCUGCAACUGACAUUGAGGCUCGAAAGUGUGGGUAUCAAACAGGAUUAGAUACCCUGGUAGUCCACACGGGAAAACGAAGAAUACUCGCUGUUUUGCGAUAUACGGCAAGCGGCCAAGCGAAAGCGUUAAGUAUUCCACCUGGGGAGUACGCCGGCAACGGUGAAACUCAAAGGAAUUGACGGGGGCCCGCACAAGCGGAGGAACAAUGUGGUUUAAUUCGAUGAUACGCGAGGAACCUUACCCGGGCUUAAAUUGCAGAUGAAUUACGGUGAAAGCCGUAAGCCGCAAGGCAUCUGUGAAGGUGCUGCAUGGUUGUCGUCAGCUCGUGCCGUGAGGUGUCGGCUUAAGUGCCAUAACGAGCGCAACCCUUGUUGUCAGUUACUAACAGGUUUUGCUGAGGACUCUGACAAGACUGCCAUCGUAAGAUGUGAGGAAGGUGGGGAUGACGUCAAAUCAGCACGGCCCUUACGUCCGGGGCUACACACGUGUUACAAUGGGGGGUACAGAGGGCCGCUACCACGCGAGUGGAUGCCAAUCCCCAAAACCUCUCUCAGUUCGGACUGGAGUCUGCAACCCGACUCCACGAAGCUGGAUUCGCUAGUAAUCGCGCAUCAGCCACGGCGCGGUGAAUACGUUCCCGGGCCUUGCACU